rnacentral:rRNA from 1 species
CUGCAGUCGAGCGCGGGAAGCAGGCAGAUCCUCUUCGGAGGUGACGCUUGUGGAACGAGCGGCGGACGGGUGAGUAACACGUGGGCAACCUGCCUGUAAGAUUGGGAUAACCCCGGGAAACCGGGGCUAAUACCGGAUAAUACUUUUCGUUGCAUAACGAGAAGUUGAAAGGCGGCUUUUAGCUGUCACUUACAGAUGGGCCCGCGGCGCAUUAGCUAGUUGGUAAGGUAACGGCUUACCAAGGCGACGAUGCGUAGCCGACCUGAGAGGGUGAUCGGCCACACUGGGACUGAGACACGGCCCAGACUCCUACGGGAGGCAGCAGUAGGGAAUCUUCCGCAAUGGACGAAAGUCUGACGGAGCAACGCCGCGUGAGUGAUGAAGGUUUUCGGAUCGUAAAACUCUGUUGUCAGGGAAGAACAAGUGCCGUUCAAAUAGGGCGGCACCUUGACGGUACCUGACCAGAAAGCCCCGGCUAACUACGUGCCAGCAGCCGCGGUAAUACGUAGGGGGCAAGCGUUGUCCGGAAUUAUUGGGCGUAAAGCGCGCGCAGGCGGUCCUUUAAGUCUGAUGUGAAAGCCCACGGCUUAACCGUGGAGGGCCAUUGGAAACUGGAGGACUUGAGUACAGAAGAGGAGAGUGGAAUUCCACGUGUAGCGGUGAAAUGCGUAGAGAUGUGGAGGAACACCAGUGGCGAAGGCGACUCUCUGGUCUGUAACUGACGCUGAGGUGCGAAAGCGUGGGGAGCGAACAGGAUUAGAUACCCUGGUAGUCCACGCCGUAAACGAUGAGUGCUAGGUGUUAGGGGGGUUUCCGCCCCUUAGUGCUGAAGUUAACGCAUUAAGCACUCCGCCUGGGGAGUACGGCCGCAAGGCUGAAACUCAAAA